rnacentral:rRNA from 1 species
UCUGAUGUUAGCGGCGGACGGGUGAGUAACACGUGGAUAACCUACCUAUAAGACUGGGAUAACUUCGGGAAACCGGAGCUAAUACCGGAUAAUAUUUUGAACCGCAUGGUUCAAAAGUGAAAGACGGUCUUGCUGUCACUUAUAGAUGGAUCCGCGCUGCAUUAGCUAGUUGGUAAGGUAACGGCUUACCAAGGCAACGAUGCAUAGCCGACCUGAGAGGGUGAUCGGCCACACUGGAACUGAGACACGGUCCAGACUCCUACGGGAGGCAGCAGUAGGGAAUCUUCCGCAAUGGGCGAAAGCCUGACGGAGCAACGCCGCGUGAGUGAUGAAGGUCUUCGGAUCGUAAAACUCUGUUAUUAGGGAAGAACAUAUGUGUAAGUAACUGUGCACAUCUUGACGGUACCUAAUCAGAAAGCCACGGCUAACUACGUGCCAGCAGCCGCGGUAAUACGUAGGUGGCAAGCGUUAUCCGGAAUUAUUGGGCGUAAAGCGCGCGUAGGCGGUUUUUUAAGUCUGAUGUGAAAGCCCACGGCUCAACCGUGGAGGGUCAUUGGAAACUGGAAAACUUGAGUGCAGAAGAGGAAAGUGGAAUUCCAUGUGUAGCGGUGAAAUGCGCAGAGAUAUGGAGGAACACCAGUGGCGAAGGCGACUUUCUGGUCUGUAACUGACGCUGAUGUGCGAAAGCGUGGGGAUCAAACAGGAUUAGAUACCCUGGUAGUCCACGCCGUAAACGAUGAGUGCUAAGUGUUAGGGGGUUUCCGCCCCUUAGUGCUGCAGCUAACGCAUUAAGCACUCCGCCUGGGGAGUACGACCGCAAGGUUGAAACUCAAAGGAAUUGACGGGGACCCGCACAAGCGGUGGAGCAUGUGGUUUAAUUCGAAGCAACGCGAAGAACCUUACCAAAUCUUGACAUCCUUUGACAACUCUAGAGAUAGAGCCUUCCCCUUCGGGGGACAAAGUGACAGGUGGUGCAUGGUUGUCGUCAGCUCGUGUCGUGAGAUGUUGGGUUAAGUCCCGCAACGAGCGCAACCCUUAAGCUUAGUUGCCAUCAUUAAGUUGGGCACUCUAAGUUGACUGCCGGUGACAAACCGGAGGAAGGUGGGGAUGACGUCAAAUCAUCAUGCCCCUUAUGAUUUGGGCUACACACGUGCUACAAUGGACAAUACAAAGGGCAGCGAAACCG